AGUGAACGCUGGCGGUAGGCCUAACACAUGCAAGUCGAACGGCAGCACAGUAAGAGCUUGCUCUUACGGGUGGCGAGUGGCGGACGGGUGAGGAAUACAUCGGAAUCUACUUUUUCGUGGGGGAUAACGUAGGGAAACUUACGCUAAUACCGCAUACGACCUACGGGUGAAAGCAGGGGAUCUUCGGACCUUGCGCGAUUGAAUGAGCCGAUGUCGGAUUAGCUAGUUGGCGGGGUAAAGGCCCACCAAGGCGACGAUCCGUAGCUGGUCUGAGAGAAUGAUCAGCCACACGGGAACUGAGACACGGUCCAGACUCCUACGGGAGGCAGCAGUGGGGAAUAUUGGACAAUGGGCGCAAGCCUGAUCCAGCCAUACCGCGUGGGUGAAGAAGGCCUUCGGGUUGUAAAGCCCUUUUGUUGGGAAAGAAAAGCAGCAGGUUAAUACCCCGCUGUUCUGACGGUACCCAAAGAAUAAGCACCGGCUAACUUCGUG
rnacentral:rRNA from 1 species